rnacentral:rRNA from 1 species
UACAGAGGGUGCUAGCGUUGUUCGGAAUCAUUGGGCGUAAAGGGCGUGUAGGCGGUUUGUUAAGUCAUGUGUGAAAUCCCCGGGCUCAACCCGGGAACUGCGUCCGAUACUGGGAGGCUUGAAUCCGGGAGAGGGAUGUGGAAUUCCAGGUGUAGCGGUGAAAUGCGUAGAUAUCUGGAGGAACACCGGUGGCGAAGGCGGCAUCCUGGACCGGUAUUGACGCUGAGGCGCGAAAGCCAGGGGAGCAAACGGG